rnacentral:rRNA from 1 species
GUUGACCUCGGAUCAGGUAGGACUACCCGCUGAACUUAAGCAUAUCAAUAAGCGGAGGAAAAGAAACCAACAGGGAUUGCCCUAGUAACGGCGAGUGAAGCGGCAGCAGCUCAAAUUUGAAAUCUGGCUCCCCCCCGCGGGGUGCCCGAGUUGUAAUUUGCAGAGGAUGCCUCUGGCGCGGCGCCUUCCGAGUUCCCUGGAACGGGACGCCAUAGAGGGUGAGAGCCCCGUAUGGUCGGCAGCCAAGCCUCUGUGAGGCUCCUUCGACGAGUCGAGUAGUUUGGGAAUGCUGCUCAAAAUGGGAGGUAUAUGUCUUCUAAAGCUAAAUACCGGCCAGAGACCGAUAGCGCACAAGUAGAGUGAUCGAAAGAUGAAAAGCACUUUGAAAAGAGGGUUAAACAGUACGUGAAAUUGUUGAAAGGGAAGCGCUCGCGACCAGACUCGGGCCCGGCGGAUCAUCCGGCGUUCUUCGCCGGUGCACUCCGCCGGCGCCCGGGCCAGCAUCGGCUCGGCCGCGGGGGAUAAAGGCGGCGGGAACGUGGCCCCUCCGGGGGUGUUAUAGCCCGCCGCGCAAUGCCCCGCGCCGGGCCGAGGACCGCGCCCCAGGGCAAGGAUGCUGGCGUAAUGGUCGCUAGCGACCCGUCUUGAAACACGGACCAAGGAGUCGUCUUCGUAUGCGAGUGUUCGGGUGUCAAACCCCUACGCGCAAUGAAAGUGAACGCGGGUGAGAGCCCUCGCGGGCGCAUCACCGACCGAUCCUGAUGUUCUCGGAUGGAUUUGAGUAAGAGCAUACGGGGCCGGACCCGAAAGAAGGUGAACUAUGCCUGUGUAGGGUGAAGCCAGAGGAAACUCUGGUGGAGGCUCGCAGCGGUUCUGACGUGCAAAUCGAUCGUCAAACAUGGGCAUGGGGGCGAAAGACUAAUCGAACCUUCUAGUAGCUGGUUCCCGCCGAAGUUUCCCUCAGGAUAGCAGUGCCGAU